GCUGGGCGUGGUGGGGGGCACCUGUAAUCCCAGCUACUUGGGAGGCUGAGGCAGGAGAAUCGCUUGAACCCAGGGGGCAUAGGUUGCAGUGGGCCAAAAUUGUGCCACUGCACCCCAGCCUGGGUAAAAGAGCGAGACGCUGUCUCAA
rnacentral:sRNA from 1 species